GGGCCCGCACAAGCGGUGGAGCAUGUGGUUUAAUUCGAUGCAACGCGAAGAACCUUACCUACCCUUGAAAUCCUCAGAAUUCUCUAGAGAUAGAGAAGUGCCUUCGGGAACUGAGUGACAGGUGCUGCAUGGCUGUCGUCAGCUCGUGUCGUGAGAUGUUGGGUUAAGUCCCGUAACGAGCGCAACCCCUACUCUUAAUUGCCAGCGGUUCGGCCGGGAACUUUAAGAGAACUGCCGGUGAUAAACCGGAGGAAGGUGGGGAUGAUGUCAAGUCAUCAUGGCCCUUACGGGUAGGGCUACACACGUGCUACAAUGGACAGUACAGAGGGCUGCAAACCCGCGAGGGGGAGCGAAUCCCUUAAAGCUGUUCUCAGUCCGGAUUGGAGUCUGCAACUCGACUCCAUGAAGUUGGAAUC
rnacentral:rRNA from 1 species